CGGAGGAUCCGAGCGUUAUCCGGAAUUACUGGGCGUAAAGAGUUGCGUAGGUGGCAUGUAAAGCAGAUAGUGAAAUUGUGUGGCUCAACCAUACACCCAUUAUCUGAACUCACAAGCUAGAGGACGAGAGAGGUAGAUGGAAUUCCCUGUGUAGGAGUGAAAUCCGUAGAUAUAGGGAGGAACACCGAUGGCGUAAGCAGUCUACUGGCUCGUUCCUGACACUCAGGCACGAAAGCGUGGGGAGCAAACGGGAUUAGAUACCCCGGUAGUCCACGCCGUAAACAAUGGAUGCUAGCCGUUUUCGGUAUCGACCCCGAAUGUGGCGAAGCUAACGCGUUAAGCAUCCCGCCUGUGGAGUACGGUCGCAAGACUA
rnacentral:rRNA from 1 species